rnacentral:tRNA from 1 species
GCUGGGGAUAUAGCUCAGUUGUUGGAGUGCUUGCCUAGCAUGCACAAGGCCCUGGGUUCAAUCCCCAGCACAACA